GGCCCGCGGGCGCAGUCUCUGGGGUGGCUCGCCGGGCACCGCCUGCCCGAAGGCAUGUGGCAGAAGCCUGGAGUGGGGCCGAGGGCGAGCAGCAUGGCCGGGACGGCGAGCCCGGGGCCCUGGCCGCCUCCCCACGCCCACGGAUCGGGACGGCCGCCCACUCGGUGCGGUUUCGGCUGGUGGGGGACCCAGGCAGAAGAGCGAGCCUCGUCACACGCUUCCGAGACGGCGAGACAGACGUGUUUUGGGAGACCCCCGAAGGGUCUGCACCGGACGAUCGCCCCAAGGGCCGCAGAACGCCUUUGCUUUCCCGCUGAAGACGGCUUCACCGCCUGCACCACGCUCACAUCUUGACCGGCAGCCCUGUGAGACUGCUGUUAAACUCUUUCUUGGAUGAGACGCCAUCUGAUGUGACUUCCCCCCAAGAGUCCUAAUUCACGGAUCCAUCGAGCUGGCCACCUCCUUUCUCGUCAUCACCUUGGAAAGGACAGGGCGCAAGGAGAACCGGCUGUCUCAGAGGAUGGAAUAUGGUCAAACCUUGACCUGGGAUGCCAACGGAGCUCGUCCAGAAAACUGUCAGGAGACCCUGGCUGGGAAAGAAUGUUUGGUUAAAAGCCGUGGGGGCUACGACGUCAUCUGCUUGCUGUCCUUUUGAGAACCCUCCUGCGUCUGUGAGAAAACUGGAGAGGCAGCCUCAGGCUGUCCUGGCCACCAUCGGCUCCAUCCUCACUAGCCUUUCCGCUGGGUACUGGAAUCGGCCCAGUUCCACUCCUUGAAGUGCCUGACUGUGACCCCGCCUCCAGCCACGUGUAGACUGUGGGACGUCAGGGACAGUACAGGGCCCAGAAGGUCUAAGCCUUGGACCGGGACCAGGGUUCUGCCACAAACAUCUGCCAGGGCCAACAGCCCUUGGGGAGCAGAUACAUAAUGUAAACUGCGUUUGGAUGGAGGAGUCGGAGAAGGCGGAGUGAGGGAUCUGGAUAGCAAGCACAGGGACUGCGCAGGAAUUUGGCUCCGGCCUGCACUGAGCCUUCUUAGACAAUCACCUUAAUGCACAACCGUGCAAGCCUUUAGUGGUCCGUUGGCAGGAGAGAGGCACCCAUAUGCCUGUAGAGCUGCCUACACGGGCCCCAGGAGACUGAGAGGGAAAGGCCUGCUGCCCGGCCGUACUCAUCACCCAUAUCUAAUUCACCAUCCAAGAGGCUGCAGAAGGAUUCUUCUCUGGGUUUCAAUCUUCACGGCAAUGAACCAUUUUAUCUCAGAACUCGGGGGUGGGGGUGAAUGAAUUCCCUUUCCGUAAUGCAGAUGGACUAAAUCCCCUUUGCUUGCUUGCUUGCUCUCUUGAAAAAGAAAAUUCAAAAGCUGAUGCCAUUUGCGCUCUUGGACGGUGCCUGAUAAGGCUGAGCUGCUUGGCUCGGUGCAGAGUCUCGGCCUGGCUUUGAGUUUGAUGGGGGCCCAGAGGCCUAGAGCAGGCCAGUGAACAGCCUGACUCAGGCGGGGAAGGGUCUGAGAAGGACCCUGGAACUUCCUGGUAUCCUCAGGAAGACUUUCAGAAAAGCCUGUCCUGGACUCGUCCUGACUCGCUGUCCUAAGCCGCCCACGCCCACUCGGACGGAGCCUGGGUCAGUCCAUCGCUGGUGCUCACAGCCCAGACUGAGCACGGACUGAGCCGGGCAUUGCCUGCAUUCUCUCAUUGGAGAGCCAUUUUACAGGUUGGAGACAGGAGCCCCAAGUGUUUAAUCUUUUAGACAGCACAGCUAAGACUCAACAGGAAAAGGCUCGAGCUGCCAAGCCCGAUGACCCAAGUUCAGUCCCCGGAAUACACAACAACUCCCCCAGGUUGCCCUCGGAUCUACCUCCCCCCACCCCACACUGUGACAUGUGCCUCUCCCCCAACUGUACUUCCUACACAUAAACGUAGAUCACAUGGGGUUUGAACUCCUGCUUCUGUUGAGUCUGUGUUCUUCACUCUAAGUGAGGCCCUUCCUGAUUUGGGUUCCAGCUAACCCCAAGCAGGCUUCUUUGCCCUCCUGCCACACCCCUCACCCUUACCUCCAAGCUCUGACACGCAACACUGAGCAGUGUGCCAAAGGAGACUUUCCAAUGCUAAGCUCCCUUGGCCUUCUGUUCGCUUUAGUGGUUCUUAAGUGUGUCCCCAGAUCGACAGCAUCACAUCCCACCUCAGACAGACCUGCUGAAUCAGAAACUCUGGGCACAGGGCCCGGCACUCGGCUUUAACAAGGGUUCCUCUGGUUGUGAUACAUGACAAGCUUGAAAAGUACUGGCUGCCUCUUGCUUCUUUAGACCAAACAAACCGUGAUGACAACUGAGGGCAACCUUGGCUCUUGCCGUGGUCUUUGUCACCUGAGCCAGCUCAUCAGGUGUGUUAUGAAGAGACCCUGAGUGGCUGAUAAUGAAAUAAUGCGGCUGUUUGGGCCUCCUUGUUGUUAUUCACUCUAUUACUUUAGUAUUAUUCUAGUUCAGGGGUAGCUGACAGAAGAGGCCAUUGUCACGUGAACAUUAUCGGCACUCUAACAGUUCCAGUGGCUUAGUAAGAAAAAAAAAAAAUCUAGAGAUGGCCCAGGGGUUAACAGCACUUGCUGCGCUUGAGGACGACCCUGGUUCACUUCCCAGCGCCUGUAUGGGGUAGGUCAUUAUGCAGCCUUAACUCCAGUUCCAGGGAUCCUGACACAUUCUUCUAGCUUCCGCAGGCUCUGGCGGCGCACACAUAUAUGCCUGCACUCUCAUGCACGCAUAAAAAUAAGGAUUGAUAUUUUUUCAAUCCCCUGGUUUGGAGGGAAAAAUCACCUGGGACCAUGUCAGUUCUUGAAAUGUCUUAACAGCCUGCAACCCACAGCCCAACCCAGGAAAUGAGUUCCUAAACACAUUUGUCCUGGCAGUGAAUUCUGACCUUACUGACGAGCCCUCUAACUCUAAUUAUGGAAUUGUCUACCUUUCUCUUUAACUCUGUCCAUUUUUGCUCCAUGUAUUUGAAACACUUUAUUUGUUGCAUACAUGAGUAUGAUUGUUUUCCUCUGCCAUUAUUUUCAACUUGUGUCUUUAGAUUUGAAUUACAUCUCCUGUAGACUGCAAAUAAUUAAGUCUUUUUAAAAAAUCUCAUCUGACAAUCUCUGCCUUUUAAUUGGAAUGUUUAGUCCAUUAACAUUUAAUGUAAUUAUUGAUAUGGUUGAAUUUAGUUUUAUUUUGCCCCUCUGUUUUUUAUUUCUCUAUCCUUCCUUCCCUGCCUUCUUUUGGAAUUUUAAAAUUCCAUUUAAAUUUAUCUAUUGGGUUUGUAGCUAUACCUCUCUGCAUUAAUUCUUUAAUGAUUGCCCCAGGGAUUACAAUGCAUCCUUAACUUUUCACAGUCCACUUAGAGUUACUAUUUCAAGUAAAACAUAGAAACUUUGUAACCACAGAUGUCCAUUACUCCCUGCCCCCUUCCUUCAUGCUGUGAAUAUCAUAUGUAUUACAUCUACAUAAAUUAUAAAACCCACAUACAAUGUUAUAAUUUUGUCUUAAAUAGCCAUGUGAAUUUCAGAACAAUUAAGGAGGCUUAUUGCCAAAGGGAACCUCAAAAUUAAGGGAAUUUUCAGGAAUCUGAUUCUCAUCAUGGUUAGAAAAAGGAGCCUGGAUCUUUCAAUGAUUGUUUGUCUCUUCCAGGUGAGGCUAAUUUUAGGGCCACAGGAAGGAAGCACAGCUGAUUCAUCUCAAACCCUGUCUUUGUUUCCCAGUUUACUGGAACUCCAUUAUCAGACCCAAAGUUGUCUCCAGCGUACCCACAGGCCCUAUGGCAUAGACCUGAUGAUCCCGGGCUUUUCUUUUGUCCAGGUUUCCUCUGCUUCUCUCACAUGAAACCCUUGGUCUCACAUUUUUUUUGACUGCUGUUUUCUUUUUCUGACCCUGUGCAUGCAGGUCAGAGUUUGUCCCCAAGCAUAAUAGAUAUACUGGUCAGCUUUGCUAAAUGAGUCCAGGAAUCCCAGACAGGCUGACUGUUCCCUCAGAGGACAGUGGAGCACAAAGGGGAAGACCCUGGGAAGGGGAAGGAAGCGCCUUCCAGUAGUAGUGAUAGGAAAUGGGUCCCCGGGCAGGGCGUUGUGUAAUAGUCUCCUGCAAGAUUGAAACAUUCCAUUCUGCAGAGAAGCUCUUCAAACAGGAAGAUGAACAAUUCAAAAUAGCUGCAGGAACUCUCUGAAACUGACCAGAUUCACUAGGCCCCUCCCUGCCAGAGUGAGCAAUGAAAGCUGAGAGUCCCCCCCUCAAGACCAGAGAGCCGAACUACAAAGACAACUGAGGCCAGACCAGCUGCCUGGAAGAAGCAGAAACCAUCUGAGAUGCCGGAAGAUGUUUAGAUCACCUGAGUCACUUGGAAAGCACACUCUCCAACCUGUUAGGAUGCCUUUAGGCUGUGCAGUGUGCUCCAGGUUCCCAGCUUCGUGAGUUGUCACCAUGCUGGGGUGGGCUUUGGGGACACUGCUGUCUGUGAGUCAUUUCUGGUCCUGUAAGUAACCCCUCACCCACAUUCCCGUAAGUGACCCCAAUAAAACUCAUUGGUUCACCAGGCUGGACUUUGGUCUGUCGUGAGAUUUCUCUCUGGAGUGAGUAGACCUGUGUGUUGCAUCUCCCCAGGAAAAGUCUUGCCACAGAACACAGGGCUCUAGCCAAACCAUCACUGGGGGACCCCAGAAAGCUGGAGUCAACUCUGAUGGAAUGGAAAUGUGAUGCUUGAGAUUGUAAUGGCUGCGAAGGGAGGGCCAGGCCAGGGUAUGUGGGCAUGUGGGUGAGACCCGGAUUUUCAGCUCGUGUGUACCUGGAGGAAGUGAGCCCUGGGCCACCCAGAGCUGCUGACGCUGCAGCCUGGAGGCCCGAAGCUUUGUGGAGAAGCCAUUAGUCGGGUGACAGGGGAAAGAAUGAAAAGCUGCCUGAUUCAGGGUCCGCAAGGGCCGCCGGCCCCACUGUAAGGGAGGCAAAAAUACAUCUGGGUUUUUCUGGGGCACACCCCGGGGCUGACCAGAAAAGGACCUUCAUCCCAGAAUAAAGGGGCCUGUGAGUGGAGUUUCCCCUAAGUGUCAGAGGAAGAAGGGUGGCGUCCAGGGGUCAGGACAGGGAGAGGCCGGCAGGACUGGAAGGA